rnacentral:rRNA from 1 species
GAUGUGAUGCUGGGCCAGCAAACCUGCUGA